ACCCGCUGAACUUAAGCAUAUCAGUAAGCGGAGGAAAAGAAACUAACUAGGAUUCCCCGAGUAGCGGCGAGCGAAAAGGGAGAAGCCCAGCGCCGAAGCCCGCGGCCUCUGGUCGCAGUGCAAUGUGGCGUUACGGUGGCGGCUUGCCGCGGCAUCUCUGGCACGAGUACCUCUGAAUGGGUCUGCCCGCAGCGGGUGUCAGGCCUCUACUUGCCUGCGAGUUGCCGUGGCCUGCCGUUCAUCGCGGAGUCGGGUUGCUUGAGAGUGCAGCCCAAAGUGGGUGGUAAGCUCCAUCUAAGGCUAAAUACCUAGUGCGAGACCGAUAGCAAACAAGUACCGUGAGGGAAAGUUGCAAAGAACUUUGAAAAGAGAGUUCAAGAGUACGUGAAACCGUUCAGAGGCAAACGGACGGAACUGGGCGAGUUCGUCGCCGCCAUUCAGCCGCCGACCUGCGUCGGCGGUGCACUUGGCGGCGGCGGAGCGCGACGACCGCCUGUCGGGUCGUCUGAAGCCCGGCGGCAAGGUGGCGACGCGUUCGCGCGUCGUGUUACAGGCCGCCGAGGCGUUGACUGACUUGGCGGGCGAGGAGCGCCUGCGGUGCACUCCCCGCGCGGGAGUGGCCCGUCGCGGUGGGCUUGCGGACGCCGGCGGCGAACUGCGUGCAGUUCGUCGUCGCGCCGUUCCGUCUGUCGCGCCGCGCGGUGUCACGGGGCACCCAGGGUCCGAGUCGCGUGGUUCCUGGCACUCCGUCCGACCCGUCUUGAAACACGGACCAAGGAGUUGAGCACGCGCGCGAGUCGAUGGGCUCGCAGAACCCCAGAGGCGCAGCUAAGGCAAAACGGGCGUGAUCCGGCACUGGCGUGUCGGCGCAACGCCGGCCCGCAGCCGACUCGAUGCGAGUGGCUGCGGCGCAAGAGCGCGCGUGCUCAGACCCGAAAGGUGGUGAACUAUGCUUGAGCAGGGCGAAGCCAGAGGAAACUCUGGUGGAGGCUCGCAGCGAUCCUGACGUGCAAAUCGGUCGUCAAACUUGAGCAUAGGGGCGAAAGACUAAUCGAACCGCCUAGUAGCUGGUUCCCUCCGAAGUUUCCCUCAGGAUAGCUGGCACUCGGGAUAAAUGGUUUUAUCCGGUAAAGCGAAUGAUUAGAGGCAUUGGGGACGAAACGUCCUCAACCUAUUCUCAAACUUUAAAUGGGUAAGAGGCGCGACCCUUCCUGAUCGGGGUCGCGUGCUCGAACAGAGAGUGCCCAGUGGGCCGUUUUUGGUAAGCAGAACUGGCGCUGUGGGAUGAACCAAACGUGCGGUUAGGGUGCCUAACGCACGCUCAUGAGACACCACAAAAGGUGUUGGUUGAUAUAGACAGCAGGACGGUGGCCAUGGAAGUCGGAAUCCGCUAAGGAGUGUGUAACAACUCACCUGCCGAAUCAACUAGCCCUGAAAAUGGAUGGCGCUGGAGCGUGCGACCCAUACCGCACCGUCGGGGCAAUGCGUGCGAAAUGCCAGGCCCCGACGAGUAGGAGGGCGUGUCGGUGGCGUUGAAGCGUAGUGCGCGAGCACGCGUGGAGCCGCCUUCAGUGCAGAUCUUGGUGGUAGUAGCAAGUAUACAAAUGAGAACUUUGUAGACCGAAGUGGAGAAGGGUUCCAUGUGAACAGCAGUUGGACAUGGGUCAGUCGGCCCUAAGAGAUCGGAGAAUUCCGUUCUGAACGGGGGAGGCGCACUCGCCGUCUGAACCACACCGCCUCUCCGGCGGUGCGUGCGAGGAGCGGCGCUCUGUGUGCGUGGCGGCCCCCGAUGCGAUCGAAAGGGAAUCGGGUUAAUAUUCCCGAACCUGGUAGUGGAGAUUGGGCCCUCGGGCCCCAGUGCGGUAACGCAACCGAACUCGGAGACGCCAGCGUCGAUCCCGGGAAGAGUUCUCUUUUCUUUGUUAGGAGCGGACUCCCUGGAAUUGGCUUGUCCAGAGAUAGGGACGUUGCAUCCGUAAAGCGUCGCGCCUCACGCGGCGUCCGGUGCAUCGGCGUUGGCCCUUGAAAAUCCGAGGGAGGCAGUGUGAUUUUCACUCCAGGCCGUACCCGAAUCCGCAGCAGGUCUCCAAGGUGAACAGCCUCUGGUCGAUAGAACAAUGUAGGUAAGGGAAGUCGGCAAAUCCGAUCCGUAACUUCGGGAUAAGGAUUGGCUCUGAGGUGCGGGCUGCUUCGGGUCGCGGCAAGAAGCGGACCGCGCGUCGGUAGGACUGAGCGUGCUUCGGCGCGUUCGGACCGCCGCCGGCGUGCGUCCGUGGGAGGCCGUGGCUUUCGCCGACGUCGACCCUCGGGUUGGCGCGCGGCUUCGUUCGGCCUAAACGCACAGCACAGAACUGGCACGGACUCUGGGAACACGACUGUCUAAUUAAAACAAAGCAUCGCGAUGGCCGCUGGUCGGUGUUGACGCGAUGUGAUUUCUGCCCAGUGCUUUGAAUGUCAAAGUGAAGAAAUUCAACCAAGCGCAGGUAAACGGCGGGAGUAACUAUGACUCUCUUAAGGUAGCCAAAUGCCUCGUCAUCUAAUUAGUGACGCGCAUGAAUGGAUUAACGAUGUUCCCACUGUCCCUAUCUACUAUCUAGCGAAACCACAGCCAAGGGAACGGGCUUGGCAAAUACAGCGGGGAAAG
rnacentral:rRNA from 1 species